ACACUCAGCCUCUCCUCUCACUCACACAGCGCGACUCCUCUCUCUCUCUCGCUCUCGCUCGCCACCACUGGUUUGGUCUCCCCCUCUCUCUUUCUCUCACCGCCGCACCUCUCUCCUCACCGGCGAUCCUCCGUCGCCACCGAUCCUCCCUUACCGUCUCACCUCUGCCGUUCCUCUGUCGCUCCCUCACCAUUGCUGCUUUCUCUCCCUCACCGCCGCUGCUUUCUCUCCCUUAGGAAUAUGUAUUUCAGUUAGUUGGUGUUCCUUUAGUUAAAAAUGCAUUAGCUGGUUACAACACAACAAUCUUGGCAUAUGGACAGAUAUACAAUGAACAAAUAGGAGAUUUACUUGAUCCAACCCAACGAAACCUAGAGA